CGAAAUAAAAUGGAGUGGAACAAUGUUCUUGUCACUUGGGUGAACUGUCUAUGCGAUGAACUUCUCAAUAUAAACAAAAUUACCAAAAUCCAAGAGCUCAAUUGCGAAUCCCAGUUUUUCAAAGACGUUAUCACUAUAAUAAGG